AACGAACGCUGGCGGCAGGCUUAACACAUGCAAGUCGAGCGCCCCGCAAGGGGAGCGGCAGACGGGUGAGUAACGCGUGGGAACGUACCUUUUGGUUCGGAACAACCCCGGGAAACUGGAGCUAAUACCGGAUAAGCCCUAACGGGGAAAGAUUUAUCGCCGAAAGAUCGUCCCGCGUCUGAUUAGCUAGUUGGUGAGGUAACGGCUCACCAAGGCGACGAUCAGUAGCUGGGCUGAGAGGAUGAUCAGCCACACUGGGACUGAGACACGGCCCAGACUCCUACGGGAGGCAGCAGUGGGGAAUAUUGGACAAUGGGCGCAAGCCUGAUCCAGCCAUGCCGCGUGAGUGAUGAAGGCCUUAGGGUUGUAAAGCUCUUUUGUCCGGGAAGAUAAUGACUGUACCGGAAGAAUAAGCCCCGGCUAACUUCGUG
rnacentral:rRNA from 1 species